GAUUUUUGCAUUUGUGGUUUGAAUUAGUUUGGCUAGAUAGCCCAGGACAUUUUUUUGGUUUAGCUUAUCUUCAGGUUCUUGUGAAGGAUUUAAAGUAAGAAUUGCUCAUCUUGCUUAUAAGCAAUAGUCAGCUGCAGCUCUACGAUAUAUUUGGUUACAGUCCAAAUGCUCUCUUCCUUCUAUGUUUGUUGGAGUUAUUGUUUGGAGACCCUCUUAUCUCUCUAAUGGUGCUUGUUUUAAAUUUCUAUGGAGCUUGAUAAACUCCUUUCCAAUUAUAAUUUAGAUUCACUUUUCACCUCUUCUCAAACUUCAAACUGUUGUGGCACCUCCAUUUUUAUCCUUCUGCACUAUCUUAACAGAGGUCUAUUGAUCAGGACCAGUCCAUUCAACUUUUUCAACUUUGCGGUAAUCAUAAGCCUUCCUUUGCGAUGUCUUUUUGUGGGAUCAAUCAUAAAAUACUACCGCGAAUAAACCGUUGUUUUAGGUGCAAGUCUUAGCGGUAGAGAGAAGCUUAGAGUUGAGGUCUAGCUUGGACGACGUAAAUAAUGCCACCUUUGACGACGCCUUCAAUGUCCUGAGGACAACCAUAGAGUGUCUCAAUGACAUUCCCAGCUUCUGAAAUGGCUGAGAAGAGACGCACUUGAAAUGCUUUGUCCACUACUAACUGCUCCCUUGAGUAAUCCACCACUACUUCCUCCGCUUCAUCCAUUAUCACACUGCACUUCCAAUAACCGUUUUUGGAGCUUAUUGCUUUAAAAAGACAAACAGAGAGGAACACACAAUCGAACCUGUCAUAAAGUCCAGCGCCUGCGUAUCCCUCAAGAUCUUCGUUGUUUGAAUCUGAUCGGAAUAUGACUGAUGGUUUAGAAUACAGACCUAUCCUCUUACUUGGGUAAGUGAUCACCUGCACGGCCAAGAAAAGCUCAUUGCUCGUCCUGGAUAUCCUCCAACUAACGUUUCUCCCAAACCCUUCACAAUCUGAGAGACGCAAGUUCUUGAUUAUUGGAUAUUUACUCAAGACCAGCACAUAAAACGAAGCAAGGUCUCUCAGUUUUACCUCUGUG